CCAAGGUAGUAAAAGAUUGAUUCAGCAGAAGGCUUAUUCACCUCUUAUCGAUUUACUGUCGAUAAAGCGCAGGAUAUACAGAGGAAUCCUGGCGCGGAAUUGUCCAAGAAUUUCGUUCACGCGUGUGUGUGACUCACGCAUGCAGAAGGAGCCAGAGUUCUCGAAGGAACGCGAGGUCACAUGGAAAGGAACGACCUUGCCACGCGGCGGAUAUAUUUCGAGAAUGGAUUUUAAAACGACAUCCAGGAGUGGAGGAGAAAGGAGAAGGAUAAAAAAAAGAGGGAAAAACACGAGAGUGGACCGACAGCCGGAUCCAGUUCAUCGUCCUCGAUAGUUCGAUCGUGAAUCAACCAUUUUUCCCGCCGUUCCUAAGAGAAGCGAAGCUCUUGACUACUUAUUUCAACGCUGAGAGGGGAAAGAGAAUUCUACGCGAUUUUCCGACCAAUCAUCGAUCAAGCGGUUCUUUUGACAACUGACCAUGAUGUUGAUGAGGAAACCCCCAUCGUGACGUAUAGCCAUACUAUCGUGAUAAUGCAUUAUCGCUCGAUAUGCGGGGGAUCAGGCUGCGACGUCAUCCGUCAGAUAAAUGAUGACUCGCCGCAAGAAAGAAGAAAAAAGUAUCCCGAUGAGAGACACGCUUCCUGGCCGCUCCUAAUCUCUGACUGUGACGGCGAUUAUAGUGGAGAUCAAUCUAACGCGAGAUCGUAGAUACCUCGCCGGGAUAAUCAGCGAUAGCGAAAGUAACGGGCGCAAGGUCAGGCCGGGCUGUAAAUAUGCAAUUAUCGCCUCCUCUCUCGCAACAUGCGACUCGUCUUUCUCGUCACGGCUUUUCGCACGCCGCCCCCUUACUCAUCUUCCAAGACGAUCAAUGAAGUUCCGCGAGAUCGUUUCGAAACGCGCGGAGUGAUCCUUGUUAGAAUUCUCGUUACGCUGUCGCCCACGAGUAUGUUUCGGUCGAUUAUUAUUUCUUAAUCCACGUGUUUGUUCGGCUUCUGCAUCUCGUUUCUCUCAUCUCGAGAGAUGCGAGAUUCUAAAAGCUCAGGAAACAUUCAUGUUCUCCUUAGGGUAUUUCGAAACUGGAUAUCCUUUCAAUAGCAGAUUAUCUGGCAAAUUCUUUCCUUAGCGAACAUAUGGAGGGAAGUCAUUCUUUUUUGCAAUUUUCCAAUUUAUUUUCAUUACAUAAUGUAACUCGAAUUAAAUAAUCUCGAAUUCAAAUUUUAUUUAUUUAAAUUUUAUUAUUUCAAAUAAACUCCAUUUAAUAUUGUAGUUUGCGAAAAGCCUUUCUUUUCUUUUAUCGUUCGCAUUUCAUAAACUAUUGGUACCUUGACA